AUUGGACGCUGGCGGCAGGCCUACCACAUGCGAGUCGAGUGGCAGCGGGACAGUAGCUUGCUACUUUUGCUGGCGAGCGGCGGACGGGUGAGUAAUGCCUGGGGAUCUGCCCAGUCGAGGGGGAUAAGUAGUGGAAACGGUAGCUAAUACCGCAUACGCCCUACGGGGGAAAGCAGGGGACCUUCGGGGCUUGCGGCAUUGGAUGAACCCGGGUGGGAUUAGCUAGUUGGUGAGGUAACGGCUCACCAAGGGGACGAUCCCUAGCUGGUCUGAGAGGAUGAUCAGCCACACUGGAACUGAGACACGGUCCGGACUCCUACGGGAGGCAGCAGUGGGGAAUAUUGCACAAUGGGGGAAGCCCUGAGGCAGCCAUGCCGCGUGUGUGAAGAAGGCCUUCGGGUUGUAAAGCACUUUCAGCGAGGAGGAAAGGUCAGUAGCUAAUAUCUGCUGGCUGUGACGUUACUCGCAGAAGAAGCACCGGCUAACUCCGUGCCAGCCGCCGCAGUAA
rnacentral:rRNA from 1 species